rnacentral:rRNA from 1 species
UACGGGGGGGGCAAGCGUUGUUCGGAAUUACUGGGCGUAAAGGGCCCGUAGGCGGCCAACUAAGUCAGACGUGAAAUCCCUCGGCUUAACCGGGGAACUGCGUCUGAUACUGGAUGGCUUGAAUCCGGGAGAGGGAUGCGGAAUUCCUGGUGUAGCGGUGAAAUGCGCAGAUAUCAGGAGGAACACCGGUGGCGAAGGCGGGUCUCUGGGCCGAUACUGACGCUGAGGAGCGAAAGCGUGGGGAGCGAACAGG